rnacentral:lncRNA from 1 species
GCUCGCGGUAAGCAGGAUCCACCCGAGUAGCGGGGACCGAAUCCCAUCUUUCUUAUCUCUCGAAGACUCCUUUCAGGCUGAGAUCAGAGAGGGAGGGAAAAAGAAGAGAGAAUCAUUGUUCUUCUUUUUUUAAUUUAAUAUACCAAGCCACCAGCUCAGUUAGAAGGCUUCAUUUGCUCUGAGUUAUCAUUGAGAACUAAAUGGAGAAGAAAAGAACUGAAGGCCUGAAGAUAUGUCAUCUGUAGAAAAGCCCCAUCCUUCUGCAGGUGGCCUCUUCUCAAGCUUUCUUGGCAAAUCAAGAGCUUCUGCCUUUUGGAGGACAUCCUCUUGACCUCCCACCCAUAUCAGCUCUUAGAGGACAUUCCACAGGAACAUUGCCUUCUUGUCCUCCAGUAUUUUUUAUGGAAACAGAAAUUAGGUUAUCUUCCUUAUGCUCUAGAUGGACAUCUGAAAUCAUCAAACCCUUGAGAGAAACAGCCCUCAUUCUUUUAUGAGACAACCUGGAAGAAAACAGGACUCUGAAGAUUUGUCUCCAUAUUCUCUGGAAAGAUGUACUCUGUUUGCAAUAAGAGGGAGCCACAUGGUUUAUUAGAUGGUUAUUAAUUGAGCAUUCUGUGCAAAGAAGUUUGUGCCUUAGAUUUAGAAUUCCACCCUCAGUUGGAAUACAGAUGAUCCCUAACAAGUCACAUGAAAAAAUGAACUGUGGAGCCAGAAGAGUGAGUUCUUGGAGAACUAAGGGCCAGAGACCUGUGAGCAAGAUUUGAUAAUUUUAUAAAAAUUAAAAGACGAUUUGAAAUGUUAUUGGUCUUACUAAAACUUUUACUUGUGAACUGCAAUUGAUGACAUGAUCACUUGUGCCAAUUAUAAUUUUAUACCAAAGGACUGCAGAGCAUUGGAUGGGUUUGUUGGGCAGGUUUCUCACAAACGCUGACAGAAAGGUAUGACGAAGGAUGGGAGGACAAACUGGGGGGGUGCCAAGUAGAAAAACAGAAGCGAUGGCUAAGUGCUCGUCCUGGACUCUGCCCUUUGAUAAGGGACUGAAGGUCCCUUAUGAUCUUCUUUCAAAUUCCACCGUCACAGUUUUAGUCACAUCCAUCUAUAAUAUUAUUUACUAUCAGACUUUUCUUUAAAUUGACUCGCUUUUUCACUUUAGCCUUAUCCCAAGCAAUAAUGCAUAUAAAUCAUAAGUUUGUUGUAAUAGAUUUUUUGUAAUACUAAUCAAAAUUAAAUUUAUUCCCC